GGGCGCUUAGCUCAGCUGGUCCAGAGCACUGCCCUUACAAGGCAGGGGUCGCUGGUUCGACUCCAGCAGCGCCCACGA
rnacentral:tRNA from 1 species